rnacentral:tRNA from 1 species
CCGCCAAUAACUCAAUAGGUAGAGUAAUCGGCUUUUAACCGAUAGGUUGCAGGUUCAAGUCCUGUUUGGCGGA